GCAGUUGAGUUGAGGCUAUCAAGUUAAGAUAAACGUACGUACGUUAAGUUUCAUAUCUUUGUGAAAGAGUUUCUUAGAGAACUACACAUGGCAUCAUUGAAGGCUGAAAAGCAAGUUGGCACUCAACUAUUUGGGCAGGCCAAGAAAGAACCUGUCAUUUCCAAGGCCAGUGAUGGUGGAGCCAAAGCUCCAGCAUCGAAGGCAGCCCCAAAGAAGGCUGCAUCAAAGCCUCAGGCACCCAAGAAGAAGGGUAAAGGUGGCAAAGCUGCAGCCAAGAACUGACCGAAGUGCUGAUUAGCGCUUAUAAGAAAGAAACGAUUUCAUUCCGUAUUGUCUCCUAAUAUUGUGUUUUUGGAUUUUGUAAUCAAUGAGUGCAAGCAUGGCAACUUUGAUCUCAUCCAUGUAAAGCCACGCCCUAAUGAAAUAAAAAUGUCUUUAGCUACGGUCCU